UCUACUUUUGUGUAGACAUGCAUAAGGUUAUGGUGUCAUCAUGAUCAUCUUAGAUGACCCUAUGGAUCAUCAAGUCCAGCCCCUGUCAAGAAGGCACAGUGGGGAAUUAAACUUCCAACCCCUGGCUCCACAACCAGAUACCUAAACCACUGAGCUAUCCAACAGUUCAUGUGCAUGAGGACUCAUGCAGGAGAGAGAGCAGGUGGAUAAAGCAUUGUGGAAGGAAUGAAAGAUGUGUUGGAAAAAACAUUACUGCCAUUUCAGCCAGUGUUGUGUGAAAACGGGGUGGUUUCAUUCUCACAUUUGCUUUGAAAACUCCAAAUGAAAAGGUUACUGUGUGCAUAGGGGGACCUCUCCGAAGUCUUGGAAUUGAGAUACCAUUUGCAUUACUCAUGAGCUCAGCAUUCACACAAAAGGCCUACAGUAAAUGGCACAUAACUGCAGAUGCCUUGGCAUUUGAAUGAGACAAUGUUACAAGAAGUUACACUGCCUUCUUAUUUGCUGCUGACAUUAUUACAAUUUGUGUGUUUGUGGUUCCUUUUUUAAAAGAUAUGGUUGUCAAUUUUUAAAUAUUUUUUGUUUAUUUUUUGCAGACCAUCCUGGAAUCCUCCCAACCGAAAGAUAGAGAAUAUGUUUUUCAAUAACUAAUGGGAAGGUCUGAAGAGAAAUCAUGGCUGUUGUUACAGUGCUCCAUGUACUCAAGAACACCACUCGUAUAGGGUUCCCAGUCACACAGAGAAUGGAAUAAGGUGUGAGAGAAGCCACAAUCCUGCACAGUUUUGUGGUCUUGCCCAUUCCACACAGCUUGCCAAGGGGGUAACCUCACCGAGGGACAUAGGACUGAAAAUGCUUCUUACCUAGGGCGGAUGGAGGCAUCAAGUAGAAACCAAGUCU
rnacentral:lncRNA from 1 species